rnacentral:miRNA from 1 species
GCAGACACAUUCCAGCCUAUCAGCAGCAGACCCUUCCUCCCAGACCCUCCCACCUCCUGGACAUAAUCCAUUGUGAAGCUGCAUUCUUAGUGAGCUGUCCAGGAGUUGGGAGAGUCUGGGAGGGAGGGUCUGCUGCUGAUUGGCUGGAAUGUGUCUG